rnacentral:rRNA from 1 species
UACGUAGGGGGCGAGCGUUGUCCGGAUUUAUUGGGCGUAAAGAGCGUGUAGGCGGCCAGGUAGGUCUGCUGUGAAAACUCGAGGCUCAACCUCGAGACGUCGGCGGAAACCAUCUGGCUAGAGUCCGGAAGAGGAGAGUGGAAUUCCUGGUGUAGCGGUGAAAUGCGCAGAUAUCAGGAAGAACACCCGUGGCGAAGGCGGCUCUCUGGGACGGUACUGACGCUGACAGCGCGAAAGCCAGGGGAGCAAACGGG